rnacentral:lncRNA from 1 species
AAUAAGGAUGAAGGACUCUCCAAAGAAAAGAAAGACUUUUUGUUGAAUUAAAACUACCAAGAUGGUGAAGACAGUAACUAGGCAGUUAUUACUUGGUGCCCAAGAGAACCAAGACACUACCCUCGGCCAAGACCAUCAACUGCAGAGCUCUGGGCCAUGUCUGGAGCUCACCCUGUCAAGCACCCAUGGUUUGCCAGGCUCAGAGCCACAGCUGUUUGCUGACCUGGUUCCUGCGUGUAGCCUGUACAGGCUCAGGGACAACAGGGACAGCUUCAGGAAGUGAGCGGCAAAGAGAAUGACUUUAUACAAGGCCUCUACAUACUCGCCAAGCCCACUGCGUCCCACUGCGUGUGGGUCACGCCCCUACCCUGAAGCACUUGAGGGCUGCUCCAGGGCAGAGCAGCCGGCAGCCAAUGGCAGAGCAGAGGGACUAAAUGGUACAGACAGAAACUGAAGUGGCUGAGGGUGGGGUGCUCCACACUCGGAAGGAGCCGGCAGAAGGAGGCCGACCGUGGACAGAAGGAAAAGCAUUAUGGGAGCCUUGGACCCUCUGCUCUGGAGUUAUUGGGAUGGAUGAGUGUGGUCCCACUUCCAGACUUGAGUUUCCUGGUCUGUAAAAUGAGACCGAUAAGCCGGGCGUGAUGGCGCACACCUUUAAUCCCAGCACUCGGGAGGCAGAGGCAGGUGGAUCUCUGAGUUCGAGGCCAGCCUGGUCUACAAAGUGAGUUCCAGGACAGCCAGGGCUAUACAGAGAAACCCUGUCUCGAAAAACCAAAAAAAAAAAAAAAAAAAAAAAAAAAAGUGGGGGGGGGACCGAUGACAUAAGCCUACAAGUUGUAGAUAAACCCUGCUUCUGUGUUCCAAUGACCUGGUUUGGC